rnacentral:rRNA from 1 species
UACGGAGGGUGCAAGCGUUAUCCGGAUUUACUGGGUUUAAAGGGUGCGUAGGUGGGAAGGUAAGUCAGUGGUGAAAUCCCCGAGCUUAACUUGGGAACUGCCAUUGAUACUAUCUUUCUUGAAUACCUUGGAGGUGAGCGGAAUAUGUCAUGUAGCGGUGAAAUGCUUAGAUAUGACAUAGAACACCAAUUGCGAAGGCAGCUCACUACACGGUCAUUGACACUGAGGCACGAAAGCGUGGGGAUCAAACAGGA